rnacentral:rRNA from 1 species
GGUGAACGCUGGCGGCGUGCUUAAGACAUGCAGGUCGAACGGCAGUCUUCGGACUGUAGUGGCGCACGGGUGAGUAACGGGUAACUGACCUACCCCAAAGUCGCGGAUAACGAUUCGAAAGAAUCGCUAAUACGUGAUGUGCUGUCAGAUUGUGUUCUGCCAGUAAAGAUUGAUUGCUUUGGGAUGGGGUUGCGUUCCAUCAGCUAGUUGGUGGGGUAAAGGCCCACCAAGGCGACGACGGAUAGCCGGCCUGAGAGGGUGGCCGGCCACAGGGGCACUGAGACACGGGUCCCACUCCUACGGGAGGCAGCAGUUAGGAAUCUUCCACAAUGGGCGAAAGCCUGACGGAGCGACGCCGCGUGAGGGAUGAAGGUCUUCGGAUCGUAAACCUCUGAAUCAGGGACGAAAGACACUUCGGUGGGAUGACGGUACCUGAGUAAUAGCACCGGCUAACUCCGUGCCAGCCGCCGCGGUAACAC